rnacentral:lncRNA from 10 species
AGAAAAGCCUCUUUCCUCCCUCCCAUUCCAAAAGAGAAGAAAAAACCUGGACAGCCAGAUACAAGCAGCCUUGAAAAAUCACUCUAGAGGAGAAAAGACAGGAAGAAUGUCAUCGAGAAAGAAGGCCAGGAGAGGAUGCCACAAAGGGUCCCCAUUUCCCUAACGUAGGAUUCGAGGGCACAAGCAGAGGAGGAAAGGGGUGUCAAAGUCAGAACCGCCUAGAAGGCAACGAGAAGCAGAAGCGCAGGCCUGCGAGAUGCUCAUCAGAGUGACUUAGCUGUGGGCUGCGGAAAGCAACGGAAGGAACUCACAUCCACUGGCCGCAUUCCGCUCCCCGGAACGGAGGACAGAGCCGAGUUUCUUCAGGCAGCGCGAACACAGACUCGGCCUUCCUAGGGCGCCGGCGUGUUGAGGGCGCCGCCCCCGUCGCUGCUGGGAGCUCGGCAGGCCCGUGGCCUUCUGCCUGGUUCUCCCGCCUCUGCAAGCCUCGCCUUCAGGACUCCGCCUCGCCUUCCUCUUUUCUGUUGGACAGACUCACGGGACCGUCUGCCUGGAUGAUGUGUGCACAUUUCUUACCACGAUUCCUCUGCACACCAGGUCCAGGGACUGCCGCGCUAGGGACGGCACAGCUGAACUGUGCAGGCAGCGAAGGGGCCUCACGGGGACCGCUCAGCUCCCUGAGGGCGCAGCCCCCCCUGGUCGGGGGGGAAUAAACUUCCGCGGUUUUCAGUGACCCAGUUUGUGGCACGGCACAGGUUGAAAAGUUAAAAUCUGAGCGCGUUAACUUCAGAGAUGUACUGUGAGCGGCUUUGUGCAGCGAAAUGACCUGUUUACCGAACAGCGCCCUCUGUAGCCCAGUGCUCAGAACGGGCCUUUUCAUGAUGUUCCUGCGUUGUGUUUACAGCCUCCCUGUGAGGGGGUUGCGCGCACAGGUGGACCUCGUUUUAUUGCGCCUUGCUCUAUUGUGCCUCGCAGAUACUGCACUUUUUUUACAAAUUGAAAGUUUGUGGCAACUCUGUUGGGGCACCUCUAUGGGUGCCAUUUUUCCAACGGCUCGUGUUCACUUCAUAUCUCUGUGUCAUAUUUUUAAUUCUUGUAAUAUUUCGAAUUUUUUCAUUAUCAUUAUAUCCGUCAUGGUGAUCUGUAAUCAGUGAUCUUUGAUUUUACUUUGUAAUUGUUUUGGGGAACCAACGACCGCACCCACGUAAGACAGAAAACGUAAUAAAUGUCACGUGUGUUCCGAGUGCUCCAAUGACCAGCUGCCCCCCAUCUCUCUCCCUCCCCUCAGGCCUCCCUGUUCCCUGAAACGCAAUUGUGGGAUUACACCAUUAAUAACCUACAACGGCCUCUAAGUGUUCAAGUAAAAGGAAGAGACACACAUCUCUCACUUUAAAUCGAAAGCUAGAGAUGAUUAAGCUUAGUAGGGAAAGCCUGUUCCAAGUUGAGAUAGGCUGAAAGCAAGGCCUUUUGCACCCAGGAGUUAGCCCAGUUGUGAAUGCAAAGAAAAACCUCUUAAAGGAAAUUAAAAGUGCUGCUCUAGUGAACACAUGAAUGACAAGAAAGCGAAACAGCCUUAUUACAGUGGUCUAGAUAGAUCAAACCAACCACAGCGUUCCCUCAGGCCAAAGCCUACUCCAGAGCAAGGAACUCUCCUCAGUUCCACAAAGGCUGAGAGGAGUGAGAAAGCUACAGAAGAAAAGUUUGAAAGUAGCAGAGAUUGGUUCAUGAGGUCUAAGGAAAUAAACCAUGUCCACAACAUAAAAGUGCUUCC